CUCAGCCAAUGGCAGCGAGGGGGCGACUGACAACAUUCUCAUCCUGGAGCUGACAGUAAAUUAGUAAUACAACCUCAAACUCACAGGGCUGGGAAUCUUAGCAAAGGAAUAGGAACAGUUGUUUACCUGCAUCACGAAUCAUUUGAGUGGUUAGUGGACAGAAGACAUUUAACCAUUUCGUGAAUAUACAUUAUUGACGUCUGUUUAGCACAUAUAACAAUUUUGAUGUAAAAUGUUCCCAAUCAUGGUAAAAAGGAAACUACUCUCACGAUUCAUAAAUGGUUCCAGAUCAGUGGGCAAGGUAAAAGCAAAAUCCACAGCCUGUUCAUCUCCCGAAUAAUGACUAAUAACAAGAACUAAUAACAACAUGGAGCGCUCCCCACGAAUCCAUGACAAUUCUGGGGCCAUGACAAAAACCGUCCUAGCGAAAAGCAAGCGCUCCAAGUGGAGGCUAAAACACGGUUCUCUCACAUUCCAUUGCGUAGCAAGGGGGAUUUGGGGAGUCUUAUUUCCUUAUAACUAUGCUCCCAUCUACAGAGCGCCCGCUUCGAUCAAGUUGAUAUACCAAAAUUCAGCCAGGAUAGGGAAGACGAGGCAGACUAACCAAACAUUUGGGCCUCAUAUAUUAUUGCCAGAUGUAAUACUAGUUCCUGGUGGCUUAUUUAAAAAAAUAAAAAAAUAAUAGAUUUAAAUAUCCAGCCAUGUUAACACAUGAUGUCGUGGUUGGAACACAUCAGAGAGAAGACCAUCCCUGCAGGAGUUGGGUGAUAUCCGACUUAAAUUAGUGGAUGCAUUUUUACAGCAACCUUGACAUGACUGGAGAACUCAGUGGACCACAUGCACUUCAGGAGAAAAUCAAGGCAGACUGUUUUUCUCUCUCAAAGACUUUGAUGAACGGAAAUCGUAGUGGAUCACGCCCUCUAGAUUUGUUUUCUACCCAACUUCAGUUCCGGACUCAUCAUAUCUGCAUCUCAACUGCAUCUCAACUGGAGCAAAGUUUUCAACGUGUGAUCUAAUUUCUGACCGGGAUUUCUUCAGUCUACAGCCGCUCUCUGUCCAUGAGGGAUGGCGCAUGACAAGGGCUUCUGCAACAAACACAUGGAUUACAUUUACUACACUCUCCUCCAGACCAUCAAUAACUCAAGACCCGUUGGAAAUCCAACAAGGACAAAUAAUACAAAGAUAAAAAUACCUCUCUACCACCCCCAAGAUGAAGCCAGACUGAUACUGUGCUUAUGUUCAUUAGCUCACUGUAAAAUAAGCUGUGGCAUGCCACAGGCAAGUGUGCUUGGGCUUCUGUUAUUCCUGCUGUACAUUAAAGAUAUCAAGGAUG